CGCCCGUGAGGGCAGCGCCGCGCCAAGAUGGCGGCGCGCUGCCAGUACUCAGCAUGGCGCCGGGGCCCGCGGAUGCUGCUGAAAGUGAAGAUAGGGAUAAAACCCCCAGAGUCCACAAUACAGACAUUUAAGUGUAAGUACUGGAAAAUACCUGUGUAAAAUUCUGUGUAAGAGUUAAUGGGAAAAGGCAGUGAGGAACUGCAAGAAUGAAUUGGCUGCUUGUGAGUCACAAGGUACCAGCUGCUGGAUUUGGAUGAAAAAUAGGAAGUAAGAAGUAUCACGUGUGCUCAACCCAAACAAGCAGCUGACUGAGGCUUUUGGGAAGAAAUUUAUGUCUAAUUAGCUGUCAAUCAGUUUUUACAAGCAACUGGUUUCUCUGGAAACCAAAUGUUAAGCUGUUUGGAUUGAUAAAAGACAAAAGGUUUCUUGUGUCUAGAGUAGAGUGAAAUAAGCAAGAAAUUAAUCUCCAUUAAAAAAACCCAUAAAGCAUAUGUUUUAUUAUUGUUACUAACUGCAAAAAUAUCAGCAGCUCUCUACUUCUGCAGUUCUUCAAAGGUCACACCAGGAUAACCUGGUAUGACUUAAUUUAAUUAUGAAGUUACAGAGAAAUUUUUUCAGCCAUGGGAAAUAUCACAUACAUACACAAUCCAGAUAAAUAUGGCAAGGAUCCCUGUAGGCUUCUGCUAUCCAUUAAUGAUUCUUACAGCAUUUUUUCUAAAAUCUGGGGGUUUUACACCAGCUCUUUCAAGUAGGUGAGUGCUGUUAUGCCUUCCAAUAGACAAAGGAAGAAGGAAUAUUUUGAAAGCCUGAUGCUGGACCUAAAGAACAGCAUGAAUUCCAAUCCACUGCUGCAGAAACAAAAACCAUUUUCCAAAAUAAACAAUUCAGGAAUAUGUGAUUGUUUGUGGACUUCUUCCUCAACAAUGUAAAAAUAGAUUCUGUGGAAGUGUUUAUGUUCUAUUUGUGUAGCAAACAGACUUGUAACUUUUAAGUCAUUGACCUAAACCCAAGAACAUGCAAAUAAAACAGAACUGGCCUUUAUUUUGAAUUAGUUUGACAUGUGUGUAAUUGUGGUGCUUUUUCCUAUUUCAGACCAUUUCCCUAAAUAUUUUUUUCUAACUCCUUAUUUUUUUUUUCUGCCCUAAAGUCUUAAGAAUUCAGCUAUGCAAUAAGCAUGUGAUCUGACUGACAUGCCAGGAUAAAUUCCAGAGUGCUUGCUUGGAGGCAGCCACCAAAUGCUUUGGCUGGAGAAUUGGCUGGGAGUGCUGUUAGAAAUGAGCUGAUGCCACAGAAGGAGCCUGUGCUGGGCCUGCCCUGGGUGGAACAGGGCACAGAUUUCAUGGAUCCAUGUUCAUUCAGCCAGGAGUUACUGCCCAGCUCUGCCAGCUGGGGAGUGCCAUGAGCUGGCACAGCCAUGCACAGCCUGCAGCACUUUGCUGUUCUCACAGGGAAAUUCUUAUUUCUCCAUUUCAUUCAGGGUGUAAAUGCUUCAGGUGCAGGGAUAAAUGUUACAUGGAGGCCAAACACAUCAACAACAGUGGCCAUAAAAGAAGUGAUGCCUUUAGGUGCUGCCUACAGCUGGCAUAGGAAAGCUUUUAGAGAGUGCAAAGGUGGUGUCACCAUGCCCAGAUUAAGUGUCACCAUGCCCAGAUUAAAGCAGGAUGCUGUUUCUUGUCUCAGGUUAUCAGGCACACUGUGAGGGUUGAUCAAAGAUCCACUGUUCUGUGGGAGAAUGGAAAGCACAGAGUGCUCUUGGCAAUAAAAUAAAUGAGACAUCUAAUUAUCUAAUGAUUUCAAAAAUACAACCUUGUACUGUGCACUGAAACAGAGAUUCCUUGCACACACUUCAGUUUGUAGAAGUUUUAGCUCUUUUUGUUUGAAUUUUGAAAUGGAAAUAAAUUCAGUCCAAGUAUUCCUAAGAUGAAGGAUGAAAUAGGGAUACUUUAGGUGUCCUCAAUAUUCUUGCAAAAUGCUUCCAUUUCUAUGCAGUUUUUCAUUGUGAAUACAAGAAAUAGGGGGGAAAUUCAGUCUUUGCCCUUUGCUGAUGUGCAGAAGAAUGUGUUUAAUCCAAUCCAUUUACAGAUUACUUGGUUCACCAGGGAUUCCCAUCCCUGGAAAUUCAAGGCCAGGCUGGACAGGGCUUGGAGCAGCCUGGUCUGGUGCAAGGGGGGUUUGGACUAAAUGACCUUCAAAGGUCCAUUCCAACCCAAACCACUCUGUGAUUCUGUGAAAUAAAAAUAUAUUUUAAAUAUGAUCUGUGCAGUUACAGAAAUAUCCAAAACUGGCAUGUCUUUUGAAGAAUCACUUUAUCAGUUUUGGAUAAUAAAUGUAAGUAUAAUCAGAGUGUGAAACAGGAAGAUUUUAGCUGUGCUUUUAAGUACAAAUCUCAACACAUUUCUAAAUUAGAACUUCCCAUCUGUCCUGUCACCUUAUUGGCCAGUGCAGCUAUAGCUGUUGCAUCCUGGUAGAAUAAGGUGCUUUUCUUGUAUGAAAAUACUCAUCCACAGAACAAAAAAGAUGUCAGAUAAUGCUGCAUUCCAGCAAGUCUGUAGGAAAUGGGAAUUCUUAGAUCACAUAGGAAUUGCUCAGUGGUUGUGAUGCUUUUAAAAAGCUUGGGCUAAUACACGAAUAAAAAAUGUGAGAGUAUUUUGAAUGAAGAGAGCAGAGGCACAGAAAAUUAUUACCAAAGCUAUUACAAUUUUUACCUCAAGCCAGGAUUACUGAUAUUUUUCCAGGGUAUAUGUAAAGCAGCAUCAGCUUACUUUUCUUUAAGUGGUAAGUAUGAAAACAUUUCUGUUUUCUUUCAUCAGGGUUAAGCUAAAGAAUUCUUGAUUUCUCUGACCUCAGUGAUAACUCACCUAUAGUCUGCAAAUUAAAAAAUAAUUCUAAAAAAGCACAACAUUCUUCUCUGGGGUUAUCUUUGGAACAAGUGUUUAAAGUUGUGGUUUUGGGUAACAAACAUCUGGCUGUGCCUGUUUCCAGCCCUUGUGCUCAAAACCCAUCUGUGGCUUAAAGCACUGUAACAGGAGGGGAUUUACCCAGUGCUACAGAAAAGUUACAGUUAAGGCAGGAAAUUGCAUGUUUUUCGGAAGUUCUGUGGUUUAAUUUAUAAAACGUCAUUUUACACUUGAAAAACUUCUCUGUGUAGGCGUUUGCUUGUACUUGUGUGUUCAUAUGGCUGGGGGUUAAAAAAGGAGCAAAAUCUUGAUUGAACCUUUGUGUCUAAAUCCUACCUGAGGUUGAGAAACACAAGAAAUCGUAAAAAUUCUCAAUUAAUACUCCAGGGCCUUUGAGACUGGAAGGCUGAUAUCUGUUCAAUAAUCCUGUUCAUGAGGAUUUGUGAUUCCUGCCUGGGAACAGCAUUGCUGCUACUUGUGUUUUAUUACAGGAAUGGGAAACCGCAGCAUAUCGCUUAAAUAAAAUGGUGAUGAUGCUGUAUUUAAUAAA